GGCGGAGCCAUCCUUGGGAUACCACCCUUGUAGUACUGGGACUCUAACCAUAGGCCAUGAAUCUGGUCUUGGGACACUGUCAGGUGGGCAGUUUGACUGGGGCGGUCGCCUCCCAAAAGGUAACGGAGGCGCUCAAAGGUUCUCUCAGUACGGUCGGAAAUCGUACGUAGAGUGUAAAGGCAAAAGAGAGCUUGAUUGCAAGACAUACAGGUCGAGCAAGGAUGAAAAUCGGACUUAGUGAUCCGGUGGUUCUGCGUGGAAGGGCCAUCGCUCAACGGAUAAAAGCUACCCUGGGGAUAACAGGCUUAUCUCCCCCAAGAGUCCACAUCGACGGGGAGGUUUGGCACCUCGAUGUCGGCUCAUCACAUCCUGGGGCUGUAGUAGGUCCCAAGGGUUGGGCUGUUCGCCCAUUAAAGUGGUACGCGAGCUGGGUUCAGAACGUCGUGAGACAGUUCGGUCCCUAUCCGUCGCAGGCGUAGGAAAUUUGAGAAGACCUGUCCUUAGUACGAGAGGACCGGGAUGGACGUACCUCUGGUGUACCAGUUGUUCUGCCAAGGGCAUGGCUGGGUAGCUAUGUACGGAAUGGAUAAGCGCUGAAAGCAUCUAAGCGCGAAGCCAACU
rnacentral:rRNA from 1 species